AUACGAAGGGUGCAAGCGUUAAUCGGAAUUACUGGGCGUAAAGCGCGCGUAGGUGGUUUUGUAAGUUGGAGGUGAAAGCCCCGGGCUCAACCUGGGAAUUGCCUCCAAAACUGCAUGACUAGAGUACGGUAGAGGGUAGUGGAAUUUCCUGUGUAGCGGUGAAAUGCGUAGAUAUAGGAAGGAACACCAGUGGCGAAGGCGACUACCGGGACUGAUACUGACCCGGAGGUGCGAAAGCGUGGGGAGCAAACAGGAUGAGAUACCCUGGUAGUCCACGCCGUAAACGAUGUCAACUAGCCGUUGGGAUCCUUGAGAUCUUAGUGGCGCAGCUAACGCAUUAAGUUGACCGCCUGGGGAGUACGGCCGCAAGGUUGAAACUCAAAGGAAUUGACGGGG
rnacentral:rRNA from 1 species